UAUAGCCCCAGGAUUGAAGUUCGGGUGCUGGAACUAGGCAGUAUAAAGUGUUGUAACGCUCUUUGAAGUCCUGACUAAACAGUUAAAGUGACUCGACCCUGCCGUGUGCCUUUAUUCCCACACCUCCACCACCGCGCAGCAAAAGACCCGUAGCAUCCCCACCGGACAGCGGCUAGUGACUUUUUGUGCACCCCUGAGUCCAGCUCACUCAGCCACCUUCUGUUAUUUGUCCUACACUGAUCCUGCACUGUUCUGGAAACUGCUUGUAGUGAUGCCACUCCUGCUGCCUGAGUAAACCAAUAAACCAUUAACCAGAAUAACAGACCAGUGUGAGGCAGGAGAUCGGCAGUCAAUUUAUGACAAGACAAAAAUUAUUUGUAAAUUAUUUCUUGGCA